GCCUGGGUGGCUUAGUCGGUUGAGUGUCUGACUUCAGCUCAGGUCAUGAGAUCACAGUCUGUGGGUUCAAGCCCCGCGUCGGGCU
rnacentral:tRNA from 1 species